rnacentral:lncRNA from 1 species
GGGCAGUAGAGUUAUUGAAACACGGCAAUUGAUGGUCUUUGGAUCCCAGUUUGAGCUGGCCCAGUCCAGUUUAGGUUUAAAAAGCCCACUGCUGGAAGCCUACUGCAGAAAGUUAAUAAAACAAAAGCAGUAAUUGAGCGAGUAAAAGAAAUUUGUAAUUAUCUAGAGUUUAGAGGGUAUUAAGGGAUUUUAACCUAAGGGAAUCUUUUCUGUUAUAACUAAAAGAAGGUUCUAGAAGAAAGAAAAGGUGGUCUCUCCAAAAAGAAAAUAGAAAUAAAUGAGAUUUUUGGGGUCUAAGAGUCAAUAACAAAAGUUAAAAAGGUGAGGGUGAAUUAGUAAAAUGGAGUUGUUGCCCUAUAAUCCCUUCUAUAAAAGGCUCAUUUUCAGUCAUUUUGAAGGGGUCUUAGACAGAAAAUAGAGUGAGACGGCUGCUAGAAAAUUUAGGUUCCAAAUCUGAGUUUUAAUAGCUGCAAAGACACUCCAAAAACAAAAAGAAAAUAGCCAAAAAGAGGGAUUAAAAGCUGCUUCUAACCUCUCUGGAUCCUUGCAUCAUUUCUGGGUUCAAAAGCUUGGUUUGAUUUGAAAGAAAUUGCUGGUUUUACUGCUGCUGUCACUCUGUUGUUUAGCUGGGAUUUGGAUUGUCUUCCUGAUUUCUGCUGCUGAUCUGUUUUAAGCUCGUUAAUUAGCUGUUUUCCUUGGCCUUUAUUUGGCAAGAGUUCAGCUCCAUUUACAAAUUUAGGUACAUACUUCUCACUUGUAUUUUUUUCUGAUUUGUAUUGAAGUAUGGGCUGUUUUUCUUUGAAGUUAUUUGCUGCAGUGUUUAAACUUAUUGUUUGUUUGGUCUUGAACAUAAAUUGAAUGUUUAUCUUUAAUAUAGCAACUACUUGAAGAUUUUUAUAGUUUUGCUUAUUAGAGACAAAUCGUUUUAGCAGUGAUUUGUGACUAAGAAUGUGUUGAAUCUCACAUGUUUUAGUUAAAAUUCAACUUGUGUAUCACAUCAGUAAUUAUAUGCUGCUUGCAUUCGAAAUUGAAUUGCUGAAAUCUGGGUUUUCCCUUUAUAUUCUAAUAACAAUGCAGACUGGUUUGAGGUACAAGAAUUAAACGAGUUUCUAUUUUGGAAAAUGGCUUUCGUGGAAUUUGCAUCCCUGUGAAGUCGAAUAGCUACAAGUUAAAGAAUGAGAUUUUGAAGAUAUGUGUAAAAGAUUGUUGUUUCUAAUUUAAAGUGUGAAUGUUGUCAUAAUUAAUUAUAGAGACCAUUGAUGUACUCUGCAAUUCUCAUGUGGAUGUAUUUGAACCUAAGGAGGACUGUAAUUUAUUAAAAAGCUAUUUUGCAUGAUAUAGGAUUACUGUAUCAGUGUUGGUACUUAAAUCAUAUAUUGUGUUAUUAUCAUGUAAAGCACGACAGAUUUUUAUUAUUUUUUCUUUGUCAAUCCCUUUCUAUGGUUAAGUGUUGCAUCUGCUUUGGCUCGUUAUCAUCGUUUGGUUUAAGUGUAUUGGGCUGAGCAAGCAUGCAAAGCCCAUGUAUGUGGAGCCUUGUCCAUUUGAGUUCUAUGAACUGUGAUUGUGGGCCUCUCCAAUGUGAGGCAGAUGGGUUUAGACGUGGACAACCUCAAUUUAUUGUAAAAAUGGCGUGUGGUAGCCACUAAAUAAGGUGUUGUUUAUUUUUUAUCCACCAAUUCUAAUGUUGAGCAAAAAUAGCCAUUACUUCAUUAAAAUUAAUAUGAAAAGACAUUUUUACCCUUUCUUCUAUUUCUUUUAUUCCCAAACCCUUCCUUUAUACGCUUCUCUCAUUUAAGUUCAGAGCCGAAAUUUCAUAGGCAAAAUUUCGCUCCCUCAAUAUCGUUUCUGCAUGCAACUCUCUUCUCUCGAUUGAAGUUCAGAGCCAAAAUUUCAUAAGCAAAAUUUCGCUCCCUCAAUAUCGUUCCUGCCCAGCCCACAACAAUUCUCUGCGUAUACUUUGUCCAACUUAAUCUCUUCUAUUUUGUCAUCUUCUCUGCAGCUAACCAGCGUACUGGUAUGUUUUCAAUUUUGCUUUUAUGCAUUUUUCUUUUUGUAUAUCUCUAAUCGUGAUCAAUGUUGUGUUUGUCAUCAAGUAUGUGUGAAAUGUCCAAAAUAAUGAUUAUAACUUGAUUCGUUGAGGAAUAAGGUGCAGAAUUUUGUGAGAAAGUUAUUGAGAACCUUUUGGUAUUGAAAUGUAUUUGUGGUUCAAUCAAUAUAUUGAUUAUGUAAGGAUAUUUCAGAAAAAUAGUCCCNNN